rnacentral:rRNA from 1 species
GACGUAGGGUGCGAGCGUUGUCCGGAUUUAUUGGGCGUAAAGAGCUCGUAGGCGGCUCGUCGCGUCGACCGUGAAACCCGCGGCUUAACUGCGGGCUUGCGGUUGAUACGGGCGGGCUAGAGUUCGGCAGGGGAGACUGGAAUUCCUGGUGUAGCGGUGAAAUGACGCAGAUAUCAGGAGGAACACCGGUGGCGAAGGCGGCAUCCUGGACCGGCAUUGACGCUGAGGCGCGAAAGCUAGGGGAGCAAACGGG